GUGAAGAAGAGAGGAUAGCAAAAGAUUUUGUGUGUGAACAUGAGAGAGGGUAGGGUGUAGGAGUGAAUUUGAUUUGGGUGGAAAGAAAUAUGAGCCUUUAGAUUAAGUUGGAAGGAUUAAGUUAGAAUUAAUUUGAACCGUCUUUGUGCUUUGUCAAAUGAAAUAUUCAAAAUAGGUUUUGUUUUAUUAUAUAGAUUAUAAAGAAAAAAACUGAAAAAUAAUAUUAUGUAAUAAAUAAAAUUACAAAUGAAAUAAAAUAAAAUUAAACUUACACAAAAACAUUAGAAUGAGAAAGAGGAGAAAAAGAAUCUACAAAUUAAAAAUAGGAUAAUGGAGAAAAAAAAUAUGAAAAGAGAGGAAAGUGGUGAGAUAAAAAAAGGGAAUGGAAAAAAAGGGAAAUAGAGAGGAAAUUAUUAAAAUUGUAAAAUUGAAAUGUGUCCUGUUAAGAAAGAAGAGGAGAGAAAUGUGAGAAUUUGAACUCUAGUAACUGAAUCCAUGUAGUAUAGGAAUUUAAGAGAAAAUAAGAUAUAAGAUAUGAUGGGAUUAAAUAUUUUUUUAAUUACUCUACUUUAGGUUAAUUUACAGUCAAUUAAUUAAUUUUUUUUUUUACAUUCAACUAAAUAAAUUUUACUUUUCUUACAAAUCGUUAAGUCAUUUGCCCUGAACCGUAAAUAGACACAUAAAUAGUUUACUUGUAAAAAAAAACUUAUGUGACAAGGAUUAUCCCACGUAGUCUUCAUUAUGUGAAUCUGGAG
rnacentral:lncRNA from 1 species